rnacentral:rRNA from 1 species
UACGGGGGGAGCAAGCGUUGUUCGGAUUUACUGGGCGUAAAGGGCGCGUAGGCGGUCAGCACAAGUCAGUUGUGAAAUCUCCGGGCUUAACUCGGAAAGGUCAACUGAUACUGUGCGACUAGAGUGCAGAAGGGGCAACUGGAAUUCUCGGUGUAGCGGUGAAAUGCGUAGAUAUCGAGAGGAACACCGGUGGCGAAGGCGGCAUCCUGGACCGACAUUGACGCUGAAGCGCGAAAGCUAGGGGAGCAAACGGG